GCCAGGGAUAGCUCAGUCCAUAGAACAUGAGACUCUUAAUCUCAGGGUUAUGGGUUUGAGCCCCAGGCUGGGCA